rnacentral:misc_RNA from 1 species
CCAGUGGGGUGCCUCAAGGCGCCUUCACCCAUCCUUUUGUUUAAAAACCAUAGUUGCUUUGGCGGGCUUGUGCGCCCUGGUGCGCCGGCCAAUGGCCGCCCGCCGGAGUCAUUUCAAACCCAAUUUUGAAAAACAUGCCGUCUGAGAACAAUGAAAAUGAAUCA